ensembl:lncRNA
CUUUCUAUUGAAAUUGAUUGUGGUAGUUAAUUUAUAUUAUAUAUACUAACCCUAACCCUUUCUAUUGAAAUUGAUUGUGGUAGUUAAUUUAUAUUUUUUGAGAUGUGAAUAAGUAUGUCUGCUUCACCAUCCGCCUAUUUUAUUGGGAAACUACAAAGUAGUGUAAACACUUUUUUAACGAUCCCAAUACGUAAUAUGGUGCACUUGUUAUAGUUAGGUUUUUAGUACAGCGAGGCUAGAAAAGUGACCAAGAUAUUCAAUGAGACUGUGCAGGCAUCCAGAUUCCUGACUUAAGUAAAAACGUAACAUUUUUGUUUCUUAACCUUGGAUUUCCAACCCCUUGAUGUUGUUGUUGGAUCUAAUUUUAAUAGCUAGUAUUUCAAUGGUCAUAAUAAAUAAAUAUGGAGACAACGGACAUCCUUGUUUUACUCCUCUUAAAAGUUCAAUACUUUCUAAGAAGUUACCAUUUAUUUACUAUUUUACAUCUGGGGUUGCUGUACAUAACUUUAACCCCCUCGCCCCUCUCUCCUGUAUAAGAGAUUCACCAAAAUGUAAAGUCAUCCAGGCAUUUAAAUAUACAUUCUAUUCAUACUUAAUCAGAUUGAUAAUCUUCGAUUUUUCAUAAUAUUCAAUUGUUUGAAGUAAUUGUAAUCUGUCUGAUCAGGAUGAACAAUAUCUGGUAAAAAAACCUUUUUCUAAUUCUAUGUGCUAUUCAUUUCACCAGGGUUUUGACAUCACAGGGCUGGUUAAUUGAACUCCUGUCAUCGUCCCUGUCUGCCUUUGUCCCGCUCUGUAAUGGGGAGCCCCUGUUCCUGAUGGGGACGGUUUGUCCCGAGUGCUCCACCUCUAUUGGGGAGCCCCUGUUCCUGAUGGGAACAGUUUGUCCCGACCGCUCCACCUCUGUAAUGGGGAGCCCCUGUUCCUGAUGGGAACGGUUUGUCCCGACCGCUCCACCUCUGUAAUGGGGAGCCACUGUUCCUGAUGGGAACGGUUUGUCCCGACCGCUCCACCUCUGUAAUGGGGAGCCACUGUUCCUGAUGGGAGGGUUUGUCCCGACCGCUCCACCUCUGUAAUGGGGAGCCCCUGUUCCUGAUGGGAGGGGUUUGUCCCGACCGCUCCACCUCCGUAAUGGGGAGCCCCUGUUCCUGAUGGGAACGGUUUGUCCCGACCGCUCCACCUCCGUAAUGGGGAGCCCCUGUUCCUGAUGGGAACGGUUUGUCCCGACCGCUCCACCUCCGUAAUGGGGAGCCACUGUUCCUGAUGGGAACGGUUUGUCCCGACCGCUCCACCUCUGUAAUGGGGAGCCCCUGUUCCUGAUGGGAAUGGUUUGUCCUGACCGCUCCACCUCCGUAAUGGGGAGCCACUGUUCCUGAUGGGAAUGGAGUUCCUUUCCGGAUCCCUUUACAACCAAUCAGCAUCCAGGAGCACACAGGGCCCGCGGCUCAUGACCUUGAAUACAUGUGUAGAAGGAUCAGUGUGUCGGCCCGCCAUGGCUGAAGGCCUGCAGGAUCUUUUUAAGUGGGAUUAUACUGUUUAUUUGGAUGUUCUGUCCAUGGUGCCCCAAACAUUGUAUGAAGGUGGUGGAAGGUUGGCUAGAUGAUGGGGCUGGUAUCAGGACAGGAUUGUGUGUUUUCACUAUGACCCAGAUGUAUAUGGUAGCUGACUGCAGUGUGUUAUGUGACUGCUGUGUGAUGUUGUGUUUCUGCGAUACAGACUGAAGAAGGCAGAGGAGUGCUUCAGACAAGCCAAGGAGAAGGCUACCUACAGUGUCAAACCCAAGCAUGCUUCGGGAAUCAAAGCCAAGCUGGGCAUGAAGAUUUAAGACCGUUUACUGUAGAGAGAGACGAGGAACAACCACAUUGGACUGCAUGUACUACUACAGAUGAAUCACUUAGGCUUUAGAACAAGAACCAAAACGACACACUAUUCCCUAUGUAGGGCACUACUUUAGACCAGGGUCCCAUAGGGCUCUAGUCUAAAGUAGUGCACUACAUAGGGAAUAGGGUGCCGUUUGGGACACAAGAUACUACUUUUUAUUUUUGGACUCCAAGCAGCUGUCAGUCUGUCCGUCUCCCGGUCCUCCUGCCUGCUCUAUGGGACCGACUAUGCAGGCUUCUGUUAUUAGCUCAUCAGACACACAAACAUCAACAUCCAAUCAGAAAGAAGAGGGAAGCACCAUGGGGUCAGAGGUCACAGGAUGUCAUUAUACCAGAACUAUAUUUAUAGGAUGACUUCCACAGGGAAGUAUACUAAAGCAUACCUACUGUAGAGGUACUUGGAGCCAUCUUCUCCACAGUCCUACUCCAUACUGUAGAAGUACCUGGAGCCAUCUUCUCCAGUCCUACUUCCUACUGUUGAGAUACCUGGAGCCAUCUUCUUCACAGUCCUACCCCCUACUGUAGAGGUACCUGGAGCCAUCUUCUCCAGUCCUACUUCCUACUGUUGAGAUACCUGGAGCCAUCUUCUCCACAGUCAUACCCCCUACUGUUGAGAUACCUCGAGCCAUCUUCUCCAGUCAUACCCCCUACUGUUGAGAUACCUCGAGCCAUCUUCUCCAGUCAUACCCCCUACAGUACUGAUCUGAAAUGCCAAACAUGUUACCUAUUGAAGCUUACUGUAUACCAUGACGAGAUGUGUUUUCCAAAGCAAUAUAAAUGUGUAUUAGGCUCACUGAAACAGUGUGUACAUCUUAAAACACAACCUCAUUGGACGUGAGAGAGGAGACGUGUGAAGAGAAACAGCAGAACGUGAAGAAGGAAAACGAACACAGCCGUUGUCCAGGAUACAUCCCAAAUGGCACCCUAUUCCCUAUAUAGUACACUACUGUUGACCAGGACCCAGGCACCCUAUUCCCUAUAUAGUACACUACUGUUGACCAGGACCCAGGCACCCUAUUCCCUAUAUAGUACACUACUUUUUACCAGGGCCCAUGCACCCUAUUCUCUAUAUAGUGCACUACUGUUGAACAGGGCCCAUGCACCCUAUUCCCUAUAUAGUACACUACUGUUGACCAGGACCUAUGCACUAUAUAGUGUUCCAUUUGGGAUGCCGUCUCUGACAGGUCACCGUCAACAUGUUGAUGUUCGGUGUUGUUGGUUUUAGGCCGUUGAUCCCUUAGAGUAAUUCACCCUUCUUAAUCCCAAAUGGAUGGCAGCAACCAGUCGCCUGAAUGCUCUCAUCAACAUGCAUUUGAAAUUAAAUGUGGGAUUCGGGGGGGGGGGGUAAAAAACGAAAGAGCGUUACCCAUGUUCUUUAGUCCAAGUCAAUAAUGGAUCAGCUUAGCUGGGUGUUCUUACAGCAACAUAAUGGCCUGUGUCCCAAACUGCUCCCUAUUCCCUAUUUAGUACCGUACUUUGGAUUAGGGCCCAUAGUAGUGGUCUAUAUAGGGAGCCGUUUGGCAUACAGACAUGAUGUCCAACGUUGAGCUCAACUAGAUUGUGUCCGACAGAGAAGAGUUCUCUGUAUCCUUCCUGACCAGUAGAGAGGUUUACCCACAGAAGCUCUGAUCUGAUCACUGUUCACUCAGUCUAGAAGACCAGCUGUAGAAUAGACUUCUGGCAUGUUUUACUCACUUAUCAAUAAAAACAUCACCUCAAAGACAUAUUUCUACUCUUUAUCGAGGAAAAAUAUAUGCCAAUUUUUGUGUAAAAAAACUGUAAAUGUAUAACUUAUUCCCGUUUCAUUUAUCUGACUCGGUAAGAAGACAUUUCUAAUGUAUGUGAGGACAGAGAGGGUUAUGGGAAAUGUAGUCUGUUGGUUUGACAAACAUUUUGUUAAUGUAAGAUAGUGAACAGUCCUAAAGGCAUUGUUCAUUUACAUUGAAAAGUGCAUUCAAAUUAUUGACUUGAUUACUAAAAAUAAUAUAUUUAAAAUGCUUUUAUCAAUGUAAGGUAGUAUUGUAUUCUUUGUGUAACAUAUUUUUGUAAAGAUUUUUAUUUUCUGUCCCGCAGCAUGUUAAAUCAUCAUCCUGGAGUUGUUGGAUAACGGUUUAUUAUUGUCAAAUGUUGUUAGUAUGUUACUGGAUCUCUGCUUGUUUCUGGGAGCAGCAAUGUCAUUUAUCUACAAUAAAAAUGAAUAAAUUCAGCCUUUCUG